CUCAAAGAUCUAGAAAGAUCCAGAGAGCUCUCCGUCAUUGCAAGGUCACCAUCCUCUGCCUCGUCCUCACCCUCGUCGUCCUACGUGGCACUAUCGGAGCCGGUAAAUUCGGGACUCCGGGACAGGACCUCGCCGAGAUCCGCGACCACCUCUAUUACCGGAAACAAGGCGAACCGCAUCGCGUCCUCAAAGAAGUCCAAACGACGUCGUCAGAUAACCACGACGGCGCCGACACCAACGCCGGCACCAAUAACUACAACGAGUUCGACAUCAAUAAGAUCUUAAUCGACGAGGAACCAGACGUCCCGAAACGCGAUCCCAACGCGCCCUAUUCGCUCGGGCCCGGAAUCUCCGAUUGGGACGAGCAACGCUCUAGAUGGCUGCAAGAAAACCCUAAUUACCCAAAUUUCAUCGGUCCAAACAAACCGAGGGUUCUCUUAGUCACUGGUUCAUCUCCCAAACCUUGUGAGAACCCUGUCGGUGAUCAUUACUUAUUGAAAUCGAUCAAGAACAAGAUCGAUUAUUGUAGAUUACACGGGAUCGAGAUAUUUUACAACAUGGCGCUGUUGGAUGCUGAAAUGGCAGGGUUUUGGGCGAAAUUGCCGUUGAUUCGAAAGCUUUUGCUCUCGCAUCCGGAGGUGGAAUUCUUGUGGUGGAUGGAUAGUGACGCCAUGUUUACUGACAUGGCAUUUGAGGUUCCUUGGGAAAGGUAUAAAGACUCCAACUUUGUUAUGCACGGUUGGAAUGAAAUGGUUUACGAUCAGAAGAAUUGGAUUGGGCUAAACACUGGGAGUUUUUUGUUGAGGAAUGGGCAAUGGGCACUUGACAUUCUUGAUGCUUGGGCUCCAAUGGGUCCUAAAGGCAAGAUUAGGGAAGAAGCAGGGAAGGUUUUGACCCGGGAGCUUAAGAAUAGACCCGUUUUCGAAGCCGAUGAUCAGUCUGCAAUGGUGUAUUUGUUGGCUACUCAAAGGGAGAAGUGGGGUGAUAAGGUUUACUUAGAGAAUUCUUAUUAUUUGCACGGUUAUUGGGGGAUCUUGGUUGAUAGAUAUGAGGAAAUGAUUGAGAAUUAUCACCCAGGUUUAGGGGAUCAUCGUUGGCCGUUGGUGACCCACUUUGUGGGGUGCAAACCUUGUGGUAAGUUUGGGGAUUACUCGGUGGAGAGGUGCUUGAAGCAAAUGGAUAGAGCAUUCAAUUUUGGGGAUAAUCAGAUUCUUCAGAUUUAUGGGUUCACUCACAAGUCAUUGGCCAGUAGAAGGGUUAAGAGAGUUCGAAAUGAGACCAGUAAUCCGCUUGAGGUGAAAGAUGAGCUUGGACUGCUUCAUCCGGCUUUUAAAGCCGUUAAGGUAUCCUCUUCUUGAGGAUAUAGGCUUUGUAUGAUAUCUUAUGCUGCUAAAUUAUAGGUUACAGUAUUCAAAUGUUGUGUAUGCAGUGGGAAUUUUGUGCUUACGGUCUGGAUAAAUAGUAUUCUUUUGUUCCUCGUCUUUAAAUUAUGAGUUCUUUAUAUGCUUUCCGAAUGAAAACUUAGCUCAUUGUUCUUUCCACUGCUAUUCAUUUUUUGUUGCUUAUAAGCAAACUUGAUUCUGUCAAUGUUUUAACAUGGUGAUAUAUGUUACUGCAUUUGUAAUUCAAUCAUUAGUCUGCAAUGUUUAUCGAUGUUGGGAGCUGGUAUACUUUCAUACUGCUAGGGUAAGCCAGUGAAACUAGGCCGCUGCAGGUACUCUGUUCUUUGAAACUUUAGCUGGAUGAAUAUAUAGUGGGGUUGAAACUUAAUUGUUGUGGUUAAUUGCUUGUUUACGUGGUUCAAAAGAAAGUGAGAAACAUUUCACUGAAUGAGGUAAGCAUUGAUGAUCAUUAGUCUCGUUCUCUGUUUCUUGUUUCUUUGAUUCGUACUCUUUAGAUCCCCAUGGAGGAAAAGAGUCGAGUCUUGCUAGGAAUAGGAUGAUAACGAGCUGCAGUUUCCUGCUUUUAUCAUUUUAAUGGCUGAUAUUUAUGUUGCUCCGAUUCUUAUUUUUCUUCAAAUAUCCGUGUCCAAUGUUCUUGUCUGACACACAUCCGUAUAUGAGCGCCGGAUAUGAUCUUCUAACUACAUGGAAGAACUUAAAAUAGUUGGACAUAUGUUUGACACACUACUAAAAGCUGUCGAUACUCAUUUACUCCAUAACUUAGUUCACUAGUAUUGAUAGAAUCUGUUCAGCAAUGGAUUCAUCUUUACAAUUACUUUAAGUAUCAAUGUUUGACAUCUAUGUUCUAUGCUUGUUGAAAUAUGAAUAUAGAGAUAUGGUCAUUUAAACUUGUGUUAACCACGUGCCCAUGUCCGAAUUUAUAUUCGACACAUGUUUUCAACUGCAAUAGCUCUAGAUGUCCUAAACAGGGUUAUGAAUUUCCGAGACACUUAACGAUUAAAUUGUAAUUUUUUUACUUAAAUAAUUAAAACAGAAGCUUACCUAUAAAUCCAUAAUUUACCCCUAAACCAGAACAUGUCGGACCAGUCAACCUUCUAUAAUAUGGAUAGCACAAAAUUUCAAUAUAAUAUAAUAAAAAUAGAAACAAUAAAAAUGGGAUUGAACGACAUUUUUUUUCUUAAAAAGGUAGGACUUUAUUAACAUUUUCUGGAUUUUAAAAAAAUGGUCUUAAGUAACACCUUAUAAUUAAAUUUGGUAAGUGCACUGGGCCCGGACCUCUCAUGACAAACUCGUGGUCUUCUCCCUCUUUGUGGAUGGCGUGGGGUUACCAAUUUUUGGAAAUUAAACCAAUAAUGGAGCUAUCCAUUUUUCAUUACGUUAAUGACAAAAAUAAUUAAUUAAAAUUUAUAAAAAUUAUAAACCAGUGCAAUUGAUUCAGUUAUUGAUUUUUUUUUCAAGUUUUUCAGAUUUUUAUCUAUUCACAAACAAUUUAGUUUAUAGUUAACUUCAUGUCAUCGAUUAAAUCGUUAAAACCAUUGAUUUAUGGUUUAACCGAUUUAAUCAGUUGAUCUAGUCUAAUUCUAACAUCUCUCGGAAGAUCGAUUUUUCCGGUGGCCAUGCUUUUGGAGACUUGUUCCUUCUGAUGGGACCUUUCGAGCUCUUUAAGUUCUGUUUUUAUUACUUGAGCUUUUUUUACCAUUGUUUCAGGUGAGGGCGUUCAGAGAUGAAUCAUGAAUUUUGGGGACUCAAAAUAUAAUUUUAACAAUUAUACUAAUUUGUAAAUUCGUAAAUUUGUAAAGGAUUAAAAAAUACAUUUACCAUUUUUGGGGGCAAGGCUACAACCUUCUCCUUUAUCUAUGCCUUGGUUUCAGGGUGUUGCAGUAAGUCCAUCGCCAAAAAGAGUGAGGGUCUCAACCCAAACUCUUGUCCAUCAUGUUUUUGCUUUACCCUAAUGCUUGUUCCUCUAGGUUAUCGACAUAAAUCUCCCUCUCUUUGCUUUCAUGUUGAUCUAUGUGUAGAAGGGGGAGUUGCUCGUUGCCUUCGUGGCUUAGGAUUAGGGUUUUUAGUAUCUUUUAAGGUCAUUUUUAUAGUUUAUAUUCGAGAUUUAUGAUUAUUUUUUUAUAAUGUUGUUUCCAAGCAUUUAACUUUCCUAACAUUUAUUUGCUUUUUUCUUUUGGCUUUUAUCUUUUAUGGUAUUCAACAUUUAUUUAUUCAUGUUCGUGUCUAUAACCGAAAAUAAAUCUAGAUAAUUUUUUCAACAACAUAAUGAUACAUAUACAUAUACAUACAUAUAUUCAUCACACUAAAGGGGAAAAUAAUUAUAAUUCUCACAUUCACUUAUUGCUAUAAAAAAAAUCUAAAAUUGGUUAACUUGUGAAUUGAACUAAUAGUUGAACUGAUUUUUAUAAUUUUUUUUUAUUUUAAUAAUUUAUUUUCUUUGAAUUGAUCAGAUUAGUUGUUCUGGGAAUUAAUUGGUCGGAUUAGUUCGGAAUUGAUUCAACUAGUUUUUUAACUCGAUUCAACUAGUUUUUUGACUCAAUUCAACUAGCUUGUACUGUUUCAUGGGUCAAUCGGUUUUUUACCUAUCACCAUAGGGGUGUGCAUAAUUCGGGUAAAACCGAAAAAAUUCGGUUAACCGACUGAAUUCGGUUAAUCGGUCGGUUAACCGAAUUUUUUCGGUCGGGGGUCAGUUAAUUUUUUUAUGAUUUUUCGGUUAACGGUUAAUUCGAUUCGAAAUCGGUCAGUUAACCGAAAAUUUUCGGUUAACCGAAAAAAUUAAUAAAUAAAAUUAUCCAACCCAGCCCAAACUCAAUUACCCAACCCAAUAAAACUAAAACUAAAGUUUACCCAAUUACCCAAUUACCCAAUUCAAUAAAACUAAAACUAAAAGACAACCCAAUUUACUAAAGUCUAAAACCCAAUUUACUUUAAUAAUUUAUAAAAUUUUUUAAAUUUUAAAAAUAAAAAAAUAAAAAAAUUCGGGUAAUUCGGGUAUUUUUCGGUAAUUCGGCUAAUUCGGGUAAUUCGGGUAAUUUUUAACCAAAAAUAAAAAAUACAUAAUUUUCGGUUAAUUCGGUUAACCGACCUUAUUAACCGAAAAAAUUUCGGUUCGGUUAAUUUUUUUUAAAAAAAUUGGUUCGGUUAACGGUUAAAAUUUUUAGAAGGUCGGUUAAUUCGGUUAUAGUAAUUUCGGGUCGGUUAACCGAAUGAACACCCCUAUAUCACCAGAUUGAUACCCCAACCGAUUUUUGGUCCAAUUAGUCGGUAUAGUCCAAUUUAAAUAAUAUUAAAUUUUGACUUUUUUAUAUUUUUAAAUUCAUUUUUAUUUUUUCAUAUUUUUAUUUUUUUUAAAAUUAUAAAUUCGUAGUUUUUUAUUUAAAAUAUAAAAAUACUUUUUAAAAUUUCUAUAUACUUUUAAAGGGUAAUGACCAAAUUAAUAAAAAAAUAUAAAUAUGAAGUUAAAAAUGUUAUUUUACAUUUUACAUCAUUAACUUUAGUGGAAAAAUUAGACGGAGGGUGCAAGAUUUUUAAAGGGUAAACUACCUAUUUAGUCACCGAGUUUACCUAUAUUAUUAUUUUGGUUACUCAUUUCAAAAUUUUGUUAUUUUGGUCCGUAUUAUUAGAUAAGUUAUCAAUUUUAGUCACUUUACCAUUAAAAUGGGUUUCAUCACCAAACAUAAUGCUGAUGUGGCUUGCUAUAAUAAUAAAAUUAGCCCUUAAUGUUUACCCAUUUAAUUAAUUUAUUCUUGAUUUUAAAAAAAUUAACCAUUAAUAUUUACACAUUAUAUAAACCCAUUCUACAAAUUAAGAAAAUAUAAAAUAAAAUUUAAAAAUAAAUAAAAAUUCAAAUAUUUUAAAAUUAAUAAAAAUAUACAAAAUACUCAAAAAAAAUUAUAAAAAAUAUAUUUAAAAAUUGUUUUUACUUCCCACCUUGUGGCUUUGAUGGUUCCCGCAGCUGUCGCUUGUGCUGCCUUCUUCGUCAACUUCUCGCAAAAUCACAAGUAAAAAGCGAAGAUGCAAAAUUUACGCAAUAAAAAGAAAUUAAAAAGAAAGAGGGAACCUUUCAUGGAGCUGCCCAAGGUUACUGCCUCUUUUUUUUCUUUAUAAUUUUUUAGUAUUUUAUAUAUUUUUGAAUUUUUAUGUUAAUUUUAUAAAUUUAAAUUUAAAUUUUCUUAAUUUUUAGAAUCAUGACCAAAUUGGAAUAUUGUGUAAAUAUUAAAGGUUAAUUUUCUUAUUUUUUUCAAAAUAAUGAUCAAAUUAAUAAAAUGGGUAAAUAUUAAGGGUUAAUUUUGUUAUUAUACCAGGUCACUUCAGCAUUCCGUUGGGUGAUCAAAUCUAUUUUAACAAUAGAGUGACUAAAAUUGACAACUUAUCAAAUGGGAAUGACUGAAAUAAUAAACUUUUGAAAUGGGUCACCAAAAUAGGAACGCGGGUAAACUCUAGCGACUAAAUAGGAAGUUUACCCAUUUUUAAAUAAAAAAAAGACUCAAAAUUAAAAUUAUAAGGACUAAAUUAUAAAUUUAAUAAGAGUAGAGGGACUUUAACAUAUUUAAACCAAAAUAAAUCACACCGACACAUAACGCCAUUUUUAUCAGAGAAAAGAGUAUCUAAAAUCUCCCCAAAUCUUCCAAAUUUCAUUUCCUAGGGUUCUCUCUCGAUUCCCUAUUUUCCAAAUUGGUAUUGUUAGGGAUUUGACGCUAAUCCGGAUCGGGUAACGAGCCGGAAGAUGAUAGACAAUUGCUUGGGAGCUCAAAGAUCUAGAAAGAUCCAGAGAACUCUCCGUCAUUGCAAGGUCACCAUCCUCUGCCUCGUCCUCACCCUCGUCGUCCUACGUGGCACUAUCGGAGCCGGUAAAUUCGGGACUCCAGGCCAGGACUUCGUCGAGAUCCGGGACCACCUCUAUUACCGGAAACAAGGCGAACCGCAUCGCGUCCUCAAAGAAGUCCAAACGACGUCGUCAGAUAACCACGACGGCGCCGACACCAACGCCGGCACCAAUAACUACAACGAGUUCGACAUCAAUAAGAUCUUAAUCGACGAGGAACCAGACGUCCCGAAACGCGAUCCCAACGCGCCCUAUUCGCUCGGGCCCGGAAUCUCCGAUUGGGACGAGCAACGCUCUAGAUGGCUG
rnacentral:lncRNA from 1 species